rnacentral:rRNA from 1 species
ACGGAAGGCAGCAGUGGGGAAUAUUGCACAAUGGGCGCAAGCCUGAUGCAGCGAUGCCGCGUGAGGGAAGAAGGUUUUCGGAUUGUAAACCUCUGUCAACAGGGACGAAAAUGACGGUACCUGUGAAGGAAGCUCCGGCUAACUACGUGCCAGCAGCCGCGGUAAUACGUAGGGAGCAAGCGUUAUCCGGAAUUACUGGGUGUAAAGGGAGCGCAGGCGGGAUAGCAAGUCAGCGGUGAAAUGUAUGGGCUUAACCCAUGAACUGCCGUUGAAACUGUUAUUCUUGAGUGGAGUAGAGGCAGGCGGAAUUCCGAGUGUAGCGGUGAAAUGCGUAGAUAUUCGGAGGAACACCAGUGGCGAAGGCGGCCUGCUGGGCUCUAACUGACGCUGAGGCUCGAAAGUGUGGGGAGCAAACAGGAUUAGAUACCCUGGUA